AUCGGAAUAGUUAAAUUAUAAUAAGACUUUGAAGAGGUUUAGUUGAGGAUGUGUUCUCUCUUCUGGUA
rnacentral:tRNA from 1 species